GGGUUGUGAGGUUAAGUGACUAAGCGUACACGGUGGAUGCCUAGGCAGUCAGAGGCGAUGAAGGACGUGCUAAUCUGCGAUAAGCGUCGGUAAGCUGAUAUGAAGCGUUAUAACCGACGAUUUCCGAAUGGGGAAACCCAGUGCAACUCGUUGCACUAUCGUUAAGUGAAUACAUAGCUUAACGAAGCGAACCAGGGGAACUGAAACAUCUAAGUACCCUGAGGAAAAGAAAUCAACCGAGAUUCCCCUAGUAGCGGCGAGCGAACGGGGAGCAGCCCAGAACCUUAAUCAGCGUAUGUGUCAGAGGAACGGUCUGGAAAGUCCGGCGAUACAGGGUGAUAGCCCCGUACUUGAAAAUGCAUAUGCUGUGAGUUCGAUGAGUAGGGCGGGACACGUGACAUCCUGUCUGAAUAUGGGGGGACCAUCCUCCAAGGCUAAAUACUCCUGACUGACCGAUAGUGAACCAGUACCGUGAGGGAAAGGCGAAAAGAACCCCGGCGAGGGGAGUGAAAUAGAACCUGAAACCGUGUACGUACAAGCAGUGGGAGCCUCUUUUAUGGGGUGACUGCGUACCUUUUGUAUAAUGGGUCAGCGACUUAUAUUUUGUAGCAAGGUUAACCGAAUAGGGGAGCCGUAGGGAAACCGAGUCUUAACUGGGCGUCAAGUUGCAAGGUAUAGACCCGAAACCCGGUGAUCUAGCCAUGGGCAGGUUGAAGGUUGGGUAACACUAACUGGAGGACCGAACCGACUAAUGUUGAAAAAUUAGCGGAUGACUUGUGGCUGGGGGUGAAAGGCCAAUCAAACCGGGAGAUAGCUGGUUCUCCCCGAAAGCUAUUUAGGUAGCGCCUCGUGAACUCAUCUUCGGGGGUAGAGCACUGUUUCGACUAGGGGGUCAUCCCGACUUACCAACUCGAUGCAAACUACGAAUACCGAAGAAUGUUAUCACGGGAGACACACGGCGGGUGCUAACGUCCGUCGUGAAGAGGGAAACAACCCAGACCGCCAGCUAAGGUCCCAAAGUCAUAGUUAAGUGGGAAACGAUGUGGGAAGGCAUAGACAGCCAGGAUGUUGGCUUAGAAGCAGCCAUCAUUUAAAGAAAGCGUAAUAGCUCACUGGUCGAGUCGGCCUGCGCGGAAGAUGUAACGGGGCUAAACUAUGCACCGAAGCUGCGGCAGCGACACUUAGGUGUUGUUGGGUAGGGGAGCGUUCUGUAAGCCUGUGAAGGUGACCUGUGAGGGUUGCUGGAGGUAUCAGAAGUGCGAAUGCUGACAUAAGUAACGAUAAAGCGGGUGAAAAACCCGCUCGCCGGAAGACCAAGGGUUCCUGUCCAACGUUAAUCGGGGCAGGGUGAGUCGACCCCUAAGGCGAGGCCGAAAGGCGUAGUCGAUGGGAAACAGGUUAAUAUUCCUGUACUCGGUGUUACUGCGAAGGGGGGACGGAGAAGGCUAGGCUAUCCGGGCGACGGUUGUCCCGGUUUAAGCGUGUAGGGGGUGUGACUUGGUAAAUCCGGUCGCAUAUCAACCCUGAGGCGUGAUGACGAGUCACUACGGUGAUGAAGUAGUUGAUGCCAAGCUUCCAGGAAAAGCCUCUAAGCUCUAGGUAACAUUGAAUCGUACCCCAAACCGACACAGGUGGUCAGGUAGAGAAUACCAAGGCGCUUGAGAGAACUCGGGUGAAGGAACUAGGCAAAAUGGUGCCGUAACUUCGGGAGAAGGCACGCUGGCGCGUAGGUGAAGUCCCUUGCGGAUGGAGCUGAAGCCAGUCGAAGAUACCAGCUGGCUGCAACUGUUUAAUAAAAACACAGCACUGUGCAAACACGAAAGUGGACGUAUACGGUGUGACGCCUGCCCGGUGCUGGAAGGUUAAUUGAUGGGGUCAGCCGCAAGGCGAAGCUCUUGAUCGAAGCCCCAGUAAACGGCGGCCGUAACUAUAACGGUCCUAAGGUAGCGAAAUUCCUUGUCGGGUAAGUUCCGACCUGCACGAAUGGCGUAAUGAUGGCCAGGCUGUCUCCACCCGAGACUCAGUGAAAUUGAACUCGCUGUGAAGAUGCAGUGUACCCGCGGCAAGACGGAAAGACCCCGUGAACCUUUACUAUAGCUUGACACUGAACAUUGAGCCUUGAUGUGUAGGAUAGGUGGGAGGCUUUGAAG
rnacentral:rRNA from 1 species